UACGAAGGGUGCAAGCGUUACUCGGAAUUACUGGGCGUAAAGCGUGCGUAGGUGGUUUGUUAAGUCUGUUGUGAAAGCCCCGGGCUCAACCUGGGAAUGGCAAUGGAUACUGGCAAGCUAGAGUGCGGUAGAGGGUAGUGGAAUUCCCGGUGUAGCGGUGAAAUGCGCAGAUAUCAGGAGGAACACCAGUGGCGAAGGCGCCACUCUGGGCCGUAACUGACGCUGAGGAGCGAAAGCGUGGGUAGCAAACAGG
rnacentral:rRNA from 1 species